UACAUUUUUCUCACGGCCGUAGUAAAUAC
rnacentral:sRNA from 1 species